rnacentral:rRNA from 1 species
AGCGAACGCUGGCGGCAGGCUUAACACAUGCAAGUCGAGCGGACCUUUCGGGGUCAGCGGCGGACGGGUGAGUAACGCGUGGGAACGUGCCUUCCGGUUCGGAAUAACCCUGGGAAACUAGGGCUAAUACCGGAUACGCCCUUAUGGGGAAAGGUUCACUGCCGGAAGAUCGGCCCGCGUCUGAUUAGCUAGUUGGUGGGGUAACGGCCUACCAAGGCGACGAUCAGUAGCUGGUCUGAGAGGAUGAUCAGCCACACUGGGACUGAGACACGGCCCAGACUCCUACGGGAGGCAGCAGUGGGGAAUAUUGGACAAUGGGCGCAAGCCUGAUCCAGCCAUGCCGCGUGAGUGAUGAAGGCCUUAGGGUUGUAAAGCUCUUUUAUCCGGGACGAUAAUGACGGUACCGGAGGAAUAAGCCCCGGCUAACUUCGUGCCAGCCGCCGCGGUAA